rnacentral:rRNA from 1 species
AUGAAGAAGAGGAUCAAGCAUGUCAAGACCUGGCGCACACUUGCUCAGAAGCUGAAAUAUAUCAAUGGCAGGCUUCAAGUGGCUAAACAGAGGAAGGAGCACUACGCCAUGCCAGAAAUCGGCAGAAAUGAUGUUGUUCAUGCCAACCAAGUUCUCAAUUUCACAAGGGAUGAGGACCUUGUAGGGAUUGCUGAGCACAAGCAACAGUUAAUACAAUGGCUGACAGGUGAUAUGCAGGAGGAAAGAAGCGAGAUUACCACUGUGUGGGGCAUGCCAGGUGUUGGGAAAACAACUUUGGUUGCUCAUGUGUACAAAACAAUAAAAGUAUCCUUCGAUGUCGUUGCAUGGGUAACUGUAUCAGAGAGUUAUCAUGUUCAGGACUUGCUGAAGGACAUUGCUAGAGAAUUUGGCAUACCAGUUAAUGUUCCUAACAUGGAGAUCAGAAGCCUAGCUGAGACCAUCUAUGAGUACCUCCAAGCUUGUUGGAAUGAUGCUGACACAAAGUGUCCACCAGAAUUUCUGAGCUUGGCUUGGAAAUUUGUCAACAAAUUAUUCCAUCAAGAGGAGGAUAAUAACGAGGCUUGGAUUGCUGCUGGAUUCAUGAAGGAAAAGUGGUACUUGACUGAACUUGUGAACCGAAGCCUACUGCAGGUAGUUGAGAGGAAUUAUAAUGGGCGGUUGAAAUGUUUCCAGAUGCAUGAUGUCUUAAACCUUUUUGCCCUCUUGAAAGCUGGUGAAGAAUGCUUUGGUAAAGUGUAUGAUGGCUCCAAUGCAUUCUAUAUAGAGCGCUGUCGUCGCAUAUCAAUCCAGAGUGGUAUAUUAAUAUUGAUUUCUGAGGCCUAUCAUAGAAACCUCAAACUUGUUGUCAACAUUGGAUCUACAAGUUUGUUACAUCCGUCGACAAGGAUGGGAGGAAAGGGAAACUACAGAUCACGUGUAUGCGGGGGGAGCGUUGAUUUCACCGUCUUCAGAGGCGGUGCCAUCACAGCUUGCGGCGACCAGCAGGCUCCCAGUAUCAACGUCGGGCUGAGCAGCGUCACUUUGUCUUCAGGAUCACAUUUCUUGUGA